UGUUUUGGAUAGUGAACUGUUUUGAAUACUUAUGCUGAAGAUGACAGCUCAGUGACAGUGUUUUAAAGUAACUAAACAACAUAUAUACUAGCCUGUCAACUAAAACAACCGACACACGCUGCUAUAAAGUGCAGGAAUGCAGUGAAACUCGACUCACCUAAAAUGAGGGAAGUGUUUGGACCGUACAGUCAACAGAAGCAGAGCUCCAGGGCGUUUGGACAGCCGUUUUAGACAUCUGCUGAUGGCCAGAAAAAAGCAGCACAGACGUGAAGGCGAUGUGAUCAAGGCUAAACACAGAGAAUGAGGGAUGUGUUUGGACCGUACAGUCAACAGAAGCAGAGCUCCGGGAUGUUUGGACUACAUUUACAGGCAGGAUGGACAUCUGCUGCGGACAGGAAAAAGCAGCACAGACGUGAAGGCGAUGUGAUCAAGGCUAAACACAGAGAAUGAGGGAUGUGUUUGGACCGUACAGUCAACAGAAGCAGAGCUCCGGGACGUUUGGACUACAUUUACAGGCAGGAUGGACAUCUGCUGCGGACAGGCAAACACUUAUCCACCCUGCCCUUGAGCAUGACAUCUUGUUUGGUCUUGUUAUGAGUGAAGAAGCUGUGGAAAUGGGAUUCAAAACCAAAGUUUUCUGAUGUGAAGACUGAGGGAUGUGUUUGGACCAUACAGCCAACAGAAGCAGAGCUUCGGGACGUUUGGACUACAUUUACAGGCAGGAUGGACAUCUGCUGCGGACAGGCAAACACUUAUCCACCCUGCCCUUGAGCAUGACAUCUUGUUUGUUCUUGUUAUGAGUGAAGAAGCUGUGGAAAUGGGAUUCAAAACCAAAGUUUUCUGAUGUGAAGACUGAGGGAUGUGUUUGGACCAUACAGCCAACAGAAGCAGAGCUUCGGGACGUUUGGACUACAUUUACAGGCAGGAUGGACAUCUGCUGCGGACAGGCAAACACUUAUCCACCCUGCCCUUGAGCAUGACAUCUUGUUUGGUCUUGUUAUGAGUGAAGAAGCUGUGGAAAUGGGAUUCAAAACCAAAGUUUUCUGAUGUGAAGACUGAGGGAUGUGUUUGGACCAUACAGCCAACAGAAGCAGAGCUUUGGGACGUUUGGACUACAUUUACAGGCAGGAUGGACAUCUGCUGCGGACAGGCAAACACUUAUCCACCCUGCCCUUGAGCAUGACAUCUUGUUUGGUCUUGUUAUGAGUGAAGAAGCUGUGGAAAUGGGAUUCAAAACCAAAGUUUUCUGAUGUGAAGACAUUCCCGGGACAGGGGCCGUCAAGGGAGACCCAACCCAGCAGCGGAGUCACGCUGUGCUGAAGACGGCUGGUGUGGAUCUGCUGGCUCUACAGUAGCAUUUAGAGAUUAUCUACAGGUUUUCAGAGAAGAGAAAGAUAAACUGCUCUUCUGCAGGUCAAAGGUCAUUUCUAGAUACAUACACUCUCAUGUUUCCUUGUAGAGAUUAAGUGGCUGUUCUUGGUAAACUUUCCUAUUGUGUAAUCUUUUGGUACGGUCACUUGCAAAUACCACAAUUGAAAUUGACAAUGUUUACAAUAAUCUUUGGUUUGUUACAUAACUCCAGGUACUUUUACAUAUACAGUUGCUCUCCUGUGCAAUAUUUAUUCUUUUUCAAAUAUUUCUCAAGUGAUUAUUUAUUAAGGAAUUUUUCACUAUAUUUAGAAAUAUAACUAUAACAGAAAUUGAAGCAUAGAAACAGAAUCAAGUUUAAUUUAGUUCUAAAGAUAAAAAAAAU